AGGGAGCGGUGGGAGGCGGGCUCCUUCCGGCAAUCCCGCGGUGCAUUCCUCUGGGAAGCGGAGGGGGAGUAGUGGGUACGACCCCCUGCGCUGUGGCCACAACGGUCCCGAGCUGAGGGGACCCUGGGCGAGCUCGGAGCCGCGCCAUGGUCUCAGUGAGCUUUGAGGACGUGGCUGUGCACUUCACCCAGGACGAGUGGGCUUUGCUGGAUCCUUCCCAGAAGAGUCUGUACAGAGAUGUGAUGCUGGAGACCUGCAGGAGCCUCGCUGCGAUAGGACACAAAUGGGAAGACCAGAACUUGGAAGAUCAUUAUAUAAAUCCUGGGAGAAACCUGAGGUACAUUGGAAACACAUCAGGAAACUCAUAGUGGAGACAAUCCCUGUCACUACAAGGAAUAUAGAAAGACCUCCCUGGAUAUUAGUUCACUGUGCGCACAUGGAGGACCUCUUGCUGUGGGAAAAUGUUAUGAGUGUAACCAGUGUGGGAAGUCUUUGAGUUCUUAUAGUUCACUUCGAAGACAUGAAAGAAUCCAUACUGAGAAAAAGCCAUAUAAAUGCAAACAGUGUGGGAAAGCCUUUCGAUACCACAGUUACCUUCACUUACAUGAAAGAAUUCACACUGGUGAAAAACCCUAUGAAUGUAAACAAUGUGGGAAAGCAUUUAUAUUUCCUGGUGCCUUGCAGGUACAUGAAAAAAUUCAUACUGGAGAAAAACGUCAUGAGUGCAAACACUGUGGUAAAGCCUUUAGACGGCAUAGUGAUCUUCAAGUACAUGAAAAAAUUCAUACAGGGGAAAAACCUUAUGUAUGUAAACAGUGUGGUAGAGCUUUUAGGCUUAACAGCCAUCGUCAGAGACAUGAACAAACCCAUACUGAAGACAGACCCUUUAUAUGUAAACAGUGUGGCAGAUCUUUUGAAUGUUACAGUAAUCUUGAGUUACAUGAAAAAAUUCAUACAGGAGACAGACCUUUUGUUUGUACAGAAUGUGGCAAAGCUUUUGGAUGUUACAGUAACCUUCAGUUACAUGAAAAAAUCCAUACUGGAGACAGACCCUUUGUAUGUAAAGAAUGUGGUAAAGCUUUCAUAUGUCACGGUCAUCUUCAGAGGCAUGAAACCACCCACACUGGAGAAAAACCCUACGGGUGUAAACAGUGUGGCAAAGCUUUCAGUCGCAACAGUCAUCUUCAAAGACAUGAAAGAACUCACAUGCAAAUGUCUACAUGCCCCGGAAAAUGAUUCCACCAAAGGCCAGCUAGUAAACCAACUUCUAAGACCAUGGACAACUUAGAGAAAGCUGCAUCUUCAAAAUGCUACUCUAGCCUGAGUAAUCACUCACAGGAACUACCACUCUGGAGAUCUCCGCAAAGCUUGCAGGCAGCUUAUCUGACGGGAAAGUCUCUUCUCUCAGCAAUUAUUUACUGCUUUUGUAACCUCUGAGAAAGGCCUUGUAAAUCUUUUAAAGCUUAGUUUUCUGCAAUUUGUUAGUUGUUUACUUCCCAAGUCUCCAGCCUCCCUGUUUCAAUUCAAAGGAAGUUGUUAGCAGUCCAUCUUGCUGUUUCAUUUUGUAAUGUUUUUGAACCUUGGUGGGGUGGUAUAAACGGCCAGCUAUGACUAAGCAUUGAGAUCCUGUACCACAACCGUCACUUAGCAGCUUCACCGGUGGCUGUGGGCUCUUAGGCACCAAGGUCUUACCAUCUAGUUUUGGUGUGAAACCAGGAGCAGUAACAGUAAUCGUUAUGGUUUGUGGUACCUUGGGGGGUCUCCUUGGCCAACAAAUUAAAGCAGGUAUCUCAUUCCCGGCACUGGGAUUUUAUUUAGCACCCACUAGGAGUGCCCUCCCCAUAUAGAAUGCCUUCAUUACUUAAACAGUUUAGCUGUUAAUAACCAACUUUUUAAAAAAAAUCUAGCCUCAGUGGAUUUAUAAGUUAGGUAGACGUAUGAUUGCACCUGGCUAUCGUUGGACUGGCUCUGCAUCAGUGUUAAUUGGCUGUCUUUGUCUCUCACUCUUUUGUUGGUACCUAUACAGCACUGAAUUGGGUAGGACAUUUAUGCAUGGAAAUGUUUAUAAGAGGCCUGCGGCAGUUUCCACACAGGUGAGAGCUCAUUUACAUUCCUGAUAAGUAUAGGGACCAUUUAGUGUCUCGGUCCCUCAUGGGGCAAGAUGACUUCCCAUCAUAGCAUUGAUCAAGGCCACAAUCAAGAACAGGCAUAAUAUGGUGACACCUUUUGCUUUUUGGCUAGGAUAUAAAGAUACCUUAGGAGAAAACUCUCCUGCUUAGAAGUGUUUUCUUCUUAACUGCUCAGUGUGUCUAUUGCUUUGAGUGUGCUGCUGCCACAGUCCUCCAGAUACAUCCUUUGGCCUUCCAACAUGCACACAAUAGCAGCAACUCUUCAAGAACUUUCCAGGUCUUUACUGCCAGAAUGAGAUGGCUCAGGCAUCCAGUUUCACAGACUGAACAGCUACUGGUCAGUCCAUCAUACACAGUCAUCACUGAACUAACCAGCCCCACUCCAUAAGCUCUCCUACUGAAUCCCCUUUCAUGACACACAUACAAUCUAUUCAUCUGCUCUCUACAGAGUCUUUUGUAAAAAGACUUGGUACAGAAAGGGCUGUAGAGAAACAGAAUUGAUGGUUCGUGAUGUAGUUGUUUUGACACAAUUCUUCUGAGUAUACACAAACAUCUAGAUGGGGUCCUGUGGACCAAAUAUUACCAGGUAGAAAUAAAUGCCUUUAAGGAAAAGCAAUUUUGAAGUGCUUGUUACAAAAAGGACUUAAACCUCAAGCUGGUUUAGUUUUAUUGGAAAACAAAAGUCUCCAAGCCUUUUUGAGUUUGCUGUCAUUGCUGUUACAUCAGAAUUCUAUAUUCUAUUAAAGUUAACAUGUUUGCUUUUUAUUUAUUUAGAGGCAGAGUCUCACUUGUUAGCCCAGCUGGCCUUAAAUUCACAGAUGUGCUUGCCUCUACUUCCCAAGUGCUAAUACCAAAGGUUUGUGCCACCAUGCCUGGCUGUUUUCUAACAUUAAAAAAAAAGAAAGAAAGAAAAGGAAAGGAAAUAGAAAAAUACAAAUAAGUCAUCAAAUAAGAAUAUAAAAUAGCCAGUAAUAGAUAAAUAUUUUUGGUAAGAUAUUAAUGAGAAAAAUGCUUUUAGAUUUUAAAAAAAGUGGAAGGUUGGGUCUACAUGGUAGAAAUUUUGUUACAGCUAUUAUCCUGAAUAGCAUUCACUUGCUACACUUGCUGUACAAGCUAACUCUUGCUACAACUCAAGAGUUAACUAGGAAUACAAUCUCAACUGAGGAAUUCCCUAAAUCAGAUUGAUCUGUGGGCAUGUCAGUGGGAGAUUAUCUUGAUUGUUGAUAGACUGGGAAGCCCCAGUCCACGGUGAGCAGCACUGUUCACUAAGCAUGUAUUCCUGAAUGCUAGUUCAGCUUUGGCCUGUCUUCCUGCCAGCAAGCAACAUCCUCUGGAGUUCUUGCUGCACUUUAUUGGCUGUGAAGUGGGUUCUUGGGCCAGAGGUAAUAAUGUGUGGUGUAGUAAAACUUGAAGGCCUGCCUUCAAGUUCUUGCCUUGAAUCCCCCCAGUGAUGGACUGUUAUAUGGAACUAUAAGCCAAAUAAACUCUUCUCCCAUGGAGUUUCUUUUAAGAUGUUUUAUCACAGCAACAGAAAUGAAAGCUACCUUUCUCCAUGUGGUAUGGGGUGGUUUUGCUCCAUGUUAUGGUGUUUUGGGGUUUUAUAAGAUGGAUGAUAGGAUAUGCAACCAAAAACAAAGCUCUCUUGUGUAAUGUGUCAUUGUGAGCAGUAUCAGGGAGGUCAUCUUCUACUUGAUACUCAGUGUCCUGUUUUCCUGUGAGUAUAGGCUUCUCCUCAACAUGAAUUAAAGAAUGUAUUGCA